rnacentral:rRNA from 1 species
CCUACGGGUGGCUGCAGUGGGGAAUAUUGGACAAUGGGGGGAACCCUGAUCCAGCGACGCCGCGUGAGUGAAGAAGUAUUUCGGUAUGUAAAGCUCUAUCAGCAGGGAAGAAAGAAAUGACGGUACCUGACUAAGAAGCCUCGGCUAACUACGUGCCAGCAGCCGCGGUAAUCCGGAGGGGGCAAGCGUUAUCCGGAUUCAAUGGGUGUAAAGGGAUCGUAGGUGGCGAUGCAAGUCUGAAGUGAAAGGCGGGGGCCCAACCCCUGGACUGCCUUGGAAACUGUAUGGCUGGAGUGCAGGAGAGGUAAGUGGAAUUCCUGGUGUAGCGGUGAAAUGCGUAGAUAUUAGGAAGAACACCAGUGGCGAAGGCAGCUUACUGGACUGUAACUGACGUUGAGGCUCGAAAGCGUGGGGAGCGAACAGGAUUAGAUACCCGGGUAGUC